UUAAAAUUGAUGUGUUAAAAAUUAACACAAAAUAUGUGUAAAAGGAUUCUAACACAUUUUUGUGUUGGAACUGACACAUAAUGUGUAAAUAUUAUGCUUUACUGCUUACACAAUGAAUGUGUAAAACACGUUAACCAGUACAAAAUAAAAUGAAAUGCAUAAUUAUUGUAGUUUAAUGACGAUUUAUAUUUAAACGAAUUAACACGAAAAAAUGUGAUAUAAAACACUAUAUCCUGUCGUUUUCAUAAAAAAAGUGAUUUAGGCAGCGUGCACUGACACUGAUUAUCCUGUACUUUUGUUUGUUAUAAAAACCAAAUAUCAUAUAUAACACAUUCCUUUAUCAAGUAUAAGAUGUUUGUGCAACAGGAAAUAUACAAGCAAGUUCGGUCAAAAGCACAAAUAAGUCUGCACUUCACCACAAAGUUAAAUAAAAAAUAUAAAGUUUUACAAUGCAACUUUGUCCUUAGUCAAAACGAUUUGCCCAGGAACAGAUAAUAUAUUUAUGAGACCAAAGAUUGUCCAUAAGACAGUACCGAAAAUAAAAUAUAUAUAACACUGUUAACCACUACUAACACAUAACACCCAGCGGCCAGCGGUGAUUUUCAGAAGGACUUGCCGAGAUCAAGCUGCGUUGGGCGGGGUACAUGAGCGCUAAGUACCCGUUGGUUGUCUGGAUCAGAAAUCCGAAAAAGUCGGGGCAGAUUUUUUAAUAAACGCUCUCUUUAUAAACCGACCGCAAAUUUGAACUUUUUAUACAUACAUUCUCGCCUAAAAAGCUUUUGAACAUACACUUUGUGACACAAUAAGAGUAAUAUUUCAAACAUUAUGCAGGCGUUCUCUUCCAUUGGUGGCUGUCAUAAGUUCACACGAAUCUGCUGAUGACGUUUCACAUGGACAGACAACUACGCAUUAUUGUAUUUUUAAUUGUAUUUUUUGCGUGUGUUAUUUUUAUUUAAUUAUUAUGAAAAUCAUGGUCAUUAUUAUUGAGCCUUGGCUGGCAGUCUGUUUUUAAUUUGUUUUAUUGAAAAAACAAACACACAACGCUUAUUGUGUUGCGCCUGCGCAGUGACUUUCUUUUCCAACCGCCUUUCCAGUCAAGAGGACGUGACGAAUGUUCCUGUCUGCAUCAGCUAUCCAUCUGAAAAAGAAAAGCUGGCACUCUCAAAGGAGAUUGUGUUUUUGGAUUAUGGUCUCAUUUGGUCAAAAAGAGGGACAUGUACCGAGCAUUUUUUUUUUUUUUUUUUUUUUUUUUUUGAUGGGCCAUCACACAGUGGAUUUAUAAAAAUGAGAUUACAGAACAUCAGACGGUAGCUUCAACAGAGUUGAAGUGGGAGGACAUCAUCAAUUAAGAAUGCCAUUGACCAAACCUUAAGUCAUCAAAGAAGAUGGAUACAGGGGGACAUCCAGUUUUCCAGACUUACCGAUGGGAAAGAAGAAAUGGGAAUGUGACAAUUAUUGAGAAACUCGGAAAAAGCAUCUUUAGAGAAGAAAAUGGACAUCAGACAUUUAUUGAAGAAAGCUGACAGUCAACAUAAUGAUGAGAGCUGUGUUAUACAAUGUUAAGGAUACUCGUUCAUCUUCUGCUGUGUGAAUUCUGCUGUGUCAGUCCUGUGGGACUUGAUGCCGGCUGGUAGCAGUGUGACGUCUUUGCUUACUAAAUGAUCAAAGGGUGUCUGAAAUCAGCUCAGCCACAGUUGGUUUCCAACGGUUCUUCAGGACAUGGAGGCCACUACGUAACUGUUGCAAUGAACGAUUCUUUUGCCUUUCCACCUGAUGUUGACAAUCUGACCUGUGCGGUACUGAAAACCACUUGCACUGACAUAUCUUAAAAUAUAUCAGUGUCCUUUGUUUUGCCUCAAAAUGCACACCAGUAAUGUUUUUUGUUGAAACCAGUUAUAUUUCCUAAUUAAACUAAGGCCUAGUCCUGGAUUAAGCUAAUCCACUGUCCGGGAAACCGCCCCUAAAUGUUUUGUGACGGAAAUUUCUUUGAAUACACUUGUCAAGUUCAUUUUAAGUAUUUUUCUAAAUGUAAGAUAACAUGUUAAUGUUUCAGGACAAGUUAAAAAUUUUUGAUAAUUUGCAUGUUGGAAACGAUUUCAUACAUUGUUCUAUUCAACAUGUUUAGCACAGUUGCUUUUAAAUUCAAUGAAUUAUUUUAUAAAUAGUGUUUUAAAACGUAUCAAUGUAAUGUAUGUUUGAAGUUAUUAUACUUGCACUUACAUUUAUUUAAAUUAGCAUACAUCUAGCAACAUAGAGUACUAGCAUAUUUUCAUGCAAGCAUUAAUUGUCAAAUAUUUGUUAUUUUACAAAUAAAUAGUUUGUGAACAAUAUUCAAUAGUUGUCUGCUUGAUUUCAUAAUUUAAAGUUUACAAAUCAUAUGUUUUUUUUUCUCUUUAAUAUUAAAACUAAACAAUUACUCGGUAACACACAGUUGUGUUAGAUUAAUAGAAAGUUACACAUUAAUGUGUUUACUGAAGCAACACAUUUUUGUGUUGCAUUUUAUAACACAUAUUCUGUGUUAAAUUUAACUCAACAUGUGUUGUCCCUGCGCACACUCAGAACAUGUGUAAAAAAUAACACAUGUUGUGUUGUUUUUAACACAUUUGUUUUA